rnacentral:rRNA from 1 species
UACGUAGGUGGCGAGCGUUGUCCGGAUUUAUUGGGCGUAAAGCGCGCGCAGGCGGUGCGGUAAGUCUGUCGUGAAAUCUCCCGGCUCAACUGGGAGGGUGCGCCGAAUACUGAAUGGACUUGGAGUGCGGGAGAGGAGAGUGGAAUUCCUGGUGUAGCGGUGAAAUGCGUAGAUAUCAGGAGGAACACCGGUGGUGUAGACGGCUCUCUGGACCGUAACUGACGCUGAGACACGAAAGCGUGGGUAGCAAACAGG